ACGCUGGCGGCAUGCCUUACACAUGCAAGUCGAACGGCAGCACGGGGCAACCCUGGUGGCGAGUGGCGAACGGGUGAGUAAUACAUCGGAACGUGCCCUGUCGUGGGGGAUAACUAGUCGAAAGAUUAGCUAAUACCGCAUACGACCUGAGGGUGAAAGCGGGGGACCGUAAGGCCUCGCGCGAUAGGAGCGGCCGAUGUCUGAUUAGCUAGUUGGUGGGGUAAAAGCCUACCAAGGCGACGAUCAGUAGCUGGUCUGAGAGGACGAUCAGCCACACUGGGACUGAGACACGGCCCAGACUCCUACGGGAGGCAGCAGUGGGGAAUUUUGGACAAUGGGGGCAACCCUGAUCCAGCAAUGCCGCGUGUGUGAAGAAGGCCUCGGGUUGUAAAGCACUUUGUCCGGAAAGAAAUCCUUUGGGUUAAUACCUCGGAGGGAUGACGGUACCGGAAGAAUAAGCACCGGCUAACUACGUGCCAGCAGCCGCGGUAAUACGUAGGGUGCGAGCGUUAAUCGGAAUUACUGGGCGUAAAGCGUGCGCAGGCGGUUUUGUAAGACAGGCGUGAAAUCCCCGAGCUCAACUUGGGAAUGGCGCUUGUGACUGCAAGGCUAGAGUAUGUCAGAGGGGGGUAGAAUUCCACGUGUAGCAGUGAAAUGCGUAGAGAUGUGGAGG
rnacentral:rRNA from 1 species